GAUCAAGUGCUUCCGGUGUCCCAAUCUUCUCAAGCAACUUGUCAACAAGGGAGUCCACUCGACUAACAAAGAAAGAAGCGACACUUGUGACUCGGGAGAGGUCAUUGAGCCCACUCGCUUCAAGGCCAUCGAGCUUGUAUUGUAGUUUCAGUAUCAUCGGCAAGUAGGGGUGAAACUUCAACAGAGACAUAUCCAUCUCCACCAUCUGUAUCAUCGUAGAUCGACUCAAAAAGCUUGCAUGCAUCUUGGAUAUCUUUCACAACGAGCUCCCAGUAAGCCAUUUUGAUGUCUACUCCAGAUUGUACUAGUUCCCUGUAUUUAGAUUGGAAUAUAAACUGAAAUUUCCAGGGAAUCAAGAUGAAACAUUUAAAGGGCUAAAUAACAAAGUACGAAUAAUUUUUUGAAUGAAAAUAAAAAAUACGAAUUAGGUGAAGGGGCCAAAAAUAGCAAGGAUACACCAACUGUCACAAGUAAUGCUGCUACCUAAAUAAUCAUUUAAUUCACAAUAAACCAACUUCACAUACUGCCUUCAGCAACCUAAAAUAGAAUCUAAGCUUAAACUUUAUCAUAUAAACCUCAUAUAAAGUCAAUUUCCUCGAUUAGUAUCUUGGCACACUAAUAUCAAGUAGAGAAGAAAAAAGGUUUCGAGGAUCAGCUACAACAACAGAAUCAAGACAUCCGAAGAAACUCUAGAACAUUUAACAAGAUCAAUAUUUGUAAAUAAACUCAAUCAUGUCUUACUUGAACUGAUCAUUGUAUGCACUUGAUGUAGAAAUUGCUUUCUGGAAUAUCUGCAAUUUGACACACUAGAGGAUUAAUAGAAGCCCAAACGAAAAAGGGGUUGUUUUCUAGCAUUAUAAACACUUGUACACAUAUCAGAUCAUGAUAUAAUUUUAAAAAAUGAAUAAGGAUAGCACAUUAACAAAUUCAUAUCCCUCACCGCUGGGUUGCUGGUUACACCUCGAACUCCACUCUCGAUCAACGGGAUAAGAUCAGUAACCGGACGGCAUAGAUUAUCGUACCACGGGCUCUGCCCUUGCUUCUCAUAAAGAUCAUGGAGCGUGGUUCUCUUCACACUACUCCCAUUUCCAUCAACUUUAGAGCAUCUCACACUACCCAAAAAAAAAUCAACCAAAGUCAUAAAUUAUAGAUCAAUCGAGUCAUAGCUUCGACUCCAUCAUCCCUAAAUUUCUAUAAAUGAAUUAAAGAGCAAUAAACGAAUUAAUCUCUUCAAGGCAUCAUGUUACAUAAAUCAACCAAAACAGCGCUCAUAUAAUACGAAAUCCACAAAAUCAACAACGGGAAAAUCAGCUCAGUUCUUUCAUCUCAUCAAAAUAAAUAUCAAAAAAGGCAGAUCAUUACGAAGAUGAAUAUCAAAAUUCCCACUCAACACCAACACGAGAGGGGGAGGGAAAAAUAUGAAGAUGAAUAGAAUGCUUACAUCAAUGAACCGGCGAUUCUUUGGGCAGCGCGAACACUGAGCUUGGAUGAUGAAAUGGAUUUCUCGAAAAUGGCGAUCCUUUUACGAGGAUCAGCAAAGCACAUAGGCUGAUUCUGCUGCUGCGGCGAUGAUCUGGUGAAGGUAGUUGCAGAAUUGGCAAAAGCUGAGGCGGAGAGCUUGGAAAUGGAAGGCAUGGCAGAUUGGAAAUGAAGGUGGAAGAGAAGAGACGUCUAAUUUUGGGGAUUAGGGCUUAAAUUAAUUAAGAGGGGUCAAUUUUGUGCUGACUUGUCUUUACAAGCUAUGUAAAAGCCGGUAAGUGAAGGGCAAAUUUGGUAGGUCAUCACGAUUGUUUGGUGAGAGGGGGUAGGUCGUUUCUAGGACUUUGCUAUCUAAUUCAAUCGCUAAAUUUGGUCUUCACAUCAACUCUAUCUUACUUAUUUGGGAUUGCGCUUUACAUUUGUUUUUCAUCCGUUUUUUAAUUACAACAAUAGUCGUUGCAUCAUAUCUGCCUUUCAAUAUUAUUGACAAUCUUUUCAUUGUAUCGCC